GUUUGGGUCAUAAAGUCAGAGAGCUCUACUGCACAGAAACAGACUCUUCAGCCCAAUUUAUCCAUGCCGAAUAAAUUGCCUAAUUUAGCUAAACCACUUUGCCUCUGUUUGGCUUACAUCCCUCUGAACAUUUUCUAUUCAAUGUCUUUUAAAUUUCAUAAUUGUACCCACCUUUGCAGCUUCCUUGAGCAGUUCGUUCCAUGUAUACACCACUCCUUGUGUCCCUUUUAAAUCUUUCUCCUCUCACCUUAUAUUUAUGCCCUCUAGUUUCAGACUCCCUUACCCUGGAAAAACAACUGGGCAUUUGGCUUAUCUAUGGUCCUCAUGAUUUUUUCAGUCAAUAUAAGGUCAUCUUUCAAGCCUCUCCUCAUAACUCAAACCCUCCAGCCCCAGUAACGUUCGUGUAAAUGUUGCUUCUCUUAAUUUCUUGAAUUGUGAACAAAGAUGACAAGAGCAUGAAAUUGGCAAUGAAGCAUUUAAGGAAGAAAUAUAAUUGGACAGUGUGAAGGUAGAAUAUAUAUAGUUGUGGAAAAGUGAGGGGGGAAGGCCCAUGUAGAGUGUAAAAUGUUACAGGCUAAUUGGUCCACAUGUUUUUUAUGCUGUACAUUUUGUGUAAUCCUAUAUUUUAAAACUUUUUGGUCAUUGCAUUGUUGAUAGCUUCCUGGAAGGUGAGGUAUUGAGCCAGUUUUGUUACAAGGGUUUUUUCAAUGGGAGAGGUUAUAGAAGGUGGCUAGAGGACACAUCCUUAACAAUGCUUCAGGCUGCCAAGGAGUCACAUUCAGUUGUAAAACAGAAUAUACUGCAAAUGCUGGGCAGGUCAGACAACAUGAGUGGAGAAAGGAACAGUGCUCGUGAAAGGUUUCUCACAUAUUUGGUGUUUUGCUUUGGAGCCUCCAUUUAGUGCUGAGGAACAAAGCUGAAUGCAAGAGAUGUUGCCAUAUCUGCUGAGUGUUGGACACAGUAUUGGAAGAUCUGGCCAUUGGACAUUUCUGAAUUAUGUAAUCUAAUAUUAAAGGCAAACACGAGGAAAUCUGCAGAUGCUGGAAAUUCAAGCAACACACACAAAA